UGUUGACGCUACCGGUGUAGAAACAGAAACCGAUAAACAACGCAAGCGAAAGGGGAAAAGCUUGAGGGUCGAUGAUGAUGAUUUUGUGGACGAUUCACCCAAAGUUCAAAACACAAAAAUUCAAAAGGUGUCUCAUUCGCCCUCAAAACAAAAAAAGAUGAAACACUCUAAAAAACCUACAAAAUUGGUUCCACAACAAAUUUCAUUGAAGA
rnacentral:lncRNA from 1 species